CCUACGGGUGGCAGCAGUGAGGAAUAUUGGUCAAUGGACGAGAGUCUGAACCAGCCAAGUAGCGUGAAGGAUGACUGACCUAUUUGUUGUAAACUUCUUUUAUAUGGGAAUAAAAUGUUCCACGUAUGUGAUUUUGUAUUUACCAUAUGAAUAAGGAUCGGCUAACUCCGUGCCAGCAGCCGCGGUAAGCAAGAGGGUCAGAGCGUUAUCCGGAUUGUUUGGGUUUAAAGGGAACGUAGGUCGAUUGUUAAGUCAGUUGUGAAAGUUUGCGGCUUAACCGUAAAAUUGCAGUUGAAACUGGCAGUCUUGAGUACAGGAGAGGUGGGCGGAAUUCGUGGUGUAGCGGUGAAAUGCUUAGAUAUCACGAAGAACUCCGAUUGCGAAGGCAGCUCACUGGACUGCAACUGACACUGAGGCUCGAAAGUGUGGGUAUCAAACAGGAUUAGAUACCCGUGUAGUC
rnacentral:rRNA from 1 species